CCAACAGGGGCCUUUCCUGAGACUUCUCAAGCUGGAGCUGGAGGAAAAGGCUGUGUAGCUGGGGCUUUCCAGCCAGGCUGGGACCACCACACAGUGAGGGAGACGCCUGGCACAGAACGCCAGGAGAGAUCAAAUCCGUGGCCACGUCAAUGCUUUCCAAUAUGUCCCCUCUAACACUUAAACCAGAGGCAGCUGAGUUUCUGUCACUUGCCACCAGAGAGUUUGAAUUAUGAGACCUUGCUGUGCCCAUCCCCCCAACAUCUGCCUCUGCUUUGUGACUCAACUGUCCUCUCUCUUGCCUGCCCAAGGCACCAGGCUUUCUCCCAUGCUGUAGGGCCAAUGUCCCCUCCUCCAACACCCAUCUCUACCAGGCUCUCCGGAGCUGCUGGGUAGAGCCUCCCAAAAUCUCAGUGCCCAGCCCCCAUCACCCGGGGGCUGGGUGGCCAAGCUGAGUUAAGCUAGAAAGAACAGGAGAGUUCAGGAAGGAACAUGUGUCUCAGCUAACAGGGCAGGGUAGACUGUGCUGGAAUGGUGGAAUAAGCUGAAUGCUGUCUGAACAGGGGCAUGGUGUGACUCCUUCCGAGAGAUCAGAAAUGCCACAGAAAGGACAAUGAGGUAGAAGGUACUAAGAACCAGGAGGCAAGGCUCCAGGCUUCAUUCUGUCAUGACCAAUAAACUCAAGACCUCUGCCAGUCCUCCCAGAUCCCACAUUCCAAAACAUCAUGGUCUCUUCUCCUGUCUGCCCGGAUCCAAUGGACGCCGGUCUUCCUUCCUCUGGCAAGCUCCUGCCAGCUCAGGAUCCUGCCAGGAUGCCCAAUGCCCACAGCCUCAUCUCCAGAUCUAGUCUUGCUAUGAGCCCAGCUGCAGCGGCCCUGAGCCGUCACUAAACUGAGCAGACCCCACCCUGCCUUCUCUGCAUCAGGAUUAGAGGUUAGGGAAGGGACAUGAGAGCAGAUUUCCUGCUGUCGCUUCCAUCGGACCAGACUGAGACGAGAUGAGAUGGAAGGCGUGUGGUGGCAGCCAUGGGCGCAGUGGGGGAAGCAGGACUGGCCACCAAACAGAUUAUUGUGGACGCAUGCGGGUCUGGGCAAGCUAUUUGCCAACACGGCUUGCAUCUCAGGCUGAUGCUGGCAGAAGCCCAGGGUCUCGGCCUGCAAGACGCUGGGGAAGAACAUCUACCAACCCUGUUCUCCUUAAAAGGAGAGCUCCUCCUCAAACAGGCACACAGGACACAGCCGUGGGGGUGGAGAACCAGCCAGCAGCUACCAACAAGCAGGACAUAGCUUCCAGCCCAGGAGGAGUUUAGUGUUUCAAACCACACAUCACAAAUCAUUUCCUCUGCACAUUCCUUGGAAGUUUGGGGGCAUUAACUUUCCAUCUUAUCUUUCCUAGGGUGGAUGCCAGGAGCUGGCCCUAGUGAUGUUUGCAUUUGAACAACAGUGAGAUUGGGUGUCAGCUGCCCCAGGGGCGCCGAGGAAGAUGAAGAAAUGGAGCAGGCUGUCUCCAGGCAAAGGAGGAGAGAAGGGCAGAAUCCGGAUGGUAUGGAAUGAACAGCAAGGGAGGGAAGCGGAAAGGGGAACUGGGAUUUGCUACUGCUCUAUCAAAUUACAGCGUGCAAAGCUAGCUCCAGGUGGUGGGCUCCUGAGGGUCACCGCCAGGGUACAAACCUCAGUUGUGCCCUCUACUUACUGUGUGACCAUGUGUGAAUGGGCAAACUCUCUGAACUUGAGUUUGCCUCUCAGCAAAACAGUACCUACUUCCUGGGACUGUCAGGGGCACUGAAUGAGAUGACAAGCGACCCUUAGCCCAGCACCUGGUACACAGCAAACACUCCAUCCAAUUUGGACACGAUUAUCAUUCUGCCAGAACUUCUGUGAAAUUUGGUUACAGGUCUGCACUCCUGAGAGAUGAAAGGGCACAGGCCUUAGAAAUAAGAAGACCCAGGUUGAAAACUGGCUCUGCCACCUAUGAUGACCACCUUCUUGAGUUUUCUGGGCCUCAGGCUCCCCCUGGAAAAUGGAGAUAAAGUAAACAACCGCAGAGGACUGCGGUGAGAAAUGAAGCACACGGUGUUUGUAAAGUGCUUGGAGCAGCACUGGCCUGUCCCCCACUAGGUGAGGCCACAGCAAGGAGAUAGUCAUCUGCAACACAGGAAGAGGAGCUCCACCAUAACCUGCUCGUGCUGGCCCCUUGAUCUCAGGUGUCCAGCCCCCAGAACUACGAGAAAUAAAUGACUGAUGAGCAAGCUUCCCCCUCCCCGCCCCGCCAUCUGUGGCAUUUUAUUAUGGGAGCCUGGACUCAUACAGGCGUUAUAUGAUUAGAAAUGACAGAAACCGAAGCCGGCUGAUUCAAGGGCGAGGUCCAGGCUGGAGAUACAAACCCAGGAGGCCUCAGCACGCGGACAAGUUAGUACAACAAAAGAGGGGUAAUAUACUUCCUACCUCACAGGUGGCUGUGAGGACUGAAAUAGAUACUUCACAUGGUCUGCUUAGCACUGUGGUAGGGCACGUAUGAAAGCUUGGUAAAUGGGACUGUUACCUGCAGAAGAUCACACAAAGAUAUGCUCUUGGAAUCACAGAAUUUUGGAUAGAUUCUCUAGCUCAAAAACCUUAAUUUGUAGCUAGGGAAACUAAGCUAAGCCAAGAUUAUUGACUUGCCUGGCAUUUUUCUACCAUUAACGAUUGGUUUUUUUUAAGAUUUAUAGACCCAGCCAUAAAGGAGGAAGGUGAAGUUUAACCGUACCUUGAUAUUCAAUUAGACAGAAGGGUACCAAUAAACCUUGGAAAUGCCAACGCCAAAGAGCACUCUUUAGUCCUGAUUUUGUGACUCCUUCUUCAUCCAAUGCUGCUGGCCAGUCUCCUAAUUUGGUUUCCAUGAAAUGAUGCUCUCUCAAUUUCCUGAAGAGAAAGAGAGGGAAAGAGGAAACAUUAAAAGCCAAAAGGGAAAGUGACUGGGGUUGCAUCCCCUGGAAGCAGAGCCCAUGACAGGAUUGUAGGGUCCUGAGUCAGUGAAGGAAGCAGCAUGGGGCAGGGCGGGUACCAAGAAGGAUGUGACCUCAAGUGGAGACGAGCCUCAUCUCCCGGGCAGCUCCAGAGCAGGAACUGCACCAGAAGUGGGUCCCACCUGGCGGAAGGAGAGCAGCUGCGCGUGCUCGCAUUGGUCAGUCAAUGGAAUGGGCAGUCAGGGCAGCGAGGGCGCAUUCCAGGGCGGGUUGUUCAUAGGCAGCCCCUGUCUCACUGAGGGCAAUUCUGCAAGAAGGGGGCGGCUGUGAAUUAGCCCCCAACACUCACAGCAGCUAGAAGGUGGGUGCACCUGCUCCCCAGAAAGGGGAUCUGGGUAGAGACCCCAUUAUGCCCACCACGGAGACAGGGAGGGCGGAAGCAAGGACCGCUGUAUUCACCAAUCAUCAGAGAAGUGCCCUAGAGGCUUCAUUCUCAUGACUGCCAUCUUCCUAAAAACCCAACAAGGUCAGUGGGUAGGCGUUACUAAUUCCAGCUUAUUGAUGAGGAAAAAGGGAGCGUUUGUCCAAAAUUUCGAAGGAACAAUGAAGUGACCCCCCACCCCCAGAAAACAACCAACCAAUGUGAGAAAGUGUCAAAUUAUUCACUUUUAAAGACCAGCCCACAGGUCCCAGAAGGACCUCAAAACCUCAAUUCUAGGAUUAGGGAGAAGGCUUCAGACAUCGAUUUCCUAUACUGCUUAAAUUUUCCAGGCCCCAAGUUCCAAGUCUAUCAAAUGGGCAUGGCAUUAAUGGACUGUGGUAGGCUGAGUAAUCGUCUCCAAAGAUUCCUACAGCCUACUUUUGGGAACCUGUGAAUGUUACCUUACAUGGCACAGGGGAUUUUACAGAUGUGAUUAAAGUAAGGGUCUUAAGGUGGAAAUUAUCCUGGAUUAUCUGGUGAAUUCUAAAUGUAGUCACAAAUGUCCUUAGAGAGAGAAGCAGAGAGAGACUGGCAACAGAAAAGAAGAAGGCCAUGUGACAACAGAAGCAGAUUCAGAGAAAGAAGAUGCCAAGCCUCUGGCUUUGAAGAUGAAGAAGGGGCCCACGAGCCAAGGAAUACUCUAGAAGCAACAAACGUAAGGAAACUGGACUCUCCUGGAGCCUCCAGAAGGAACUAGCCAAUACUUUUAUUUUAGCCCCGUAAGACUCUCUUUGAACUUCUGACUUCCAGAAUUGAGAAUAAAUCUGAAUUAUUCCAAGCCACUGAGUCUGUGAUCAUCUGUAACAGCAGCAAGAAGAAAACAAAUACACUGGAUGUCAGUUCACUCUUAGGAAAAUCAUGCACCUGGCUCACAGACUAGUGCUCUCAAGGCCUGGGGCAGGGCCAGGGGGAGACAGGGAAAGGGGUUGUAGAUCCAGUUCCCCUGAUCCACAGCUGCUGGACUCCCCUGCCUCGCUUGGGGGCUCCCUGGGUGUUCCCACUGCACAGCCUCCCCUCAGCCAGAAGCCGGGCAGGAGAAGGACUUUAGGGCACGUCUGCUGAGUGACUGAGUUCUGGGUGUUUGCAGCUCAGGCAGCCUGGGCACGAAUAAGGCCAGGUUCGAGCUGGACCAGCAGCAGGAGUUGUGCACCUACAGAAAGGCGUGCAGGCCUGCAGAAUGAAUGAGCGCAGCCCCGAUGAACAAGGCCAGCAACACUCAGGCUCCCUCAGGGCCCUCAGAGACCCAGCUGAGAGCAGGACACGGAGCCGGAGCCGAAGGAGGGGAACUGUCCACCCACCUCUGCCACCGAUGUGCCCUGUGACUUCAGACAAGUCUCCCCCGACCCUGCUCGCUGGGCCCCCAUCUCCCAGUCUGUGGGCAGCGUGUGAGCUGGGUGACGCCCAAGGAGCCAGCCCGCUCUGAUGCUGGGUAGCCCCAGACUCCAGCCAGGCUGACCCCAGUGGACACUCAGCACUUGGAGGUUCACAGAGUCAAAGGCUCGGGGAGAGCGCAUCCCAGGACCUGCAAAAGCCAGGUGAAAGAGGCAAUGCCAGGAAUGCACCGUCAAAAUGUUCUGUCUAAAAACGGGCCGACGCAGCCUGCAAAAUGCCUAUUGUACAUGGAUCCUAAACCAACAGAGACUGAACGGAGCAUGCCAGAUAAAUGUACAGAAAAUGGGAGCGGCCCACUGUGGGCAGAAAACACAUGAACCGGUUCCUAGGAGAGAAAGGUGGCUGAAAAGGGGCCCAGGGCUCUGGGGUCUUCUCAGUGACAGCACUGACCAAGAAUCUUCCAAGACUCCCUCUCAACUGCCUGGGAAGAGAGAGGCCUCUUAACCAGCACGGAGUGAGCUGGUGUGUUGUUUGCAUUUAUGGUAAUCCCCUGUGGCCGGUUAGGGAGCUGAACUUGGAGAGGAAAAGCACCUGCUCAAGGUCAGAAGGCUACAAAGUGGCUGAAUUAGGAUUCAACACCACGGCUGUUGAACCCCAAACCCCAAAGCUUUUAGCCACUAGGCAAACUACAGAGAUGAAGUAAGACAAUGUUUCCCAUAGUAGACCAUCCCGGGUCAAUAACAGAAAGUUCUGGAGGUUACAGCACAUGCCUAAGCUUUGGAGUGGUCAUGGUAAAAGGAAGUGAU